AGUGAACGCUGGCGGUAGGCCUAACACAUGCAAGUCGAACGGCAGCACAGUAAGAGCUUGCUCUUACGGGUGGCGAGUGGCGGACGGGUGAGGAAUACAUCGGAAUCUACUUUUUCGUGGGGGAUAACGUAGGGAAACUUACGCUAAUCCCGCAUACGACCUACGGGUGAAAGCAGGGGAUCUUCGGACAUUGCGUGAUUGAAUGAGCCGAUGUCGGAUUAGCUAGUUGGCGGGGUAAAGGCCCACCAAGGCGACGAUCCGUAGCUGGUCUGAGAGGAUGAUCAGCCACACUGGAACUGAGACACGGUCCAGACUCCUACGGGAGGCAGCAGUGGGGAAUAUUGGACAAUGGGCGCAAGCCUGAUCCAGCCAUGCCGCGUGUGUGAAGAAGGCCUUCGGGUUGUAAAGCCCUUUUGUUGGGGAAGAAAAGCAGCAGGUUAAUACCCCGCUGUUCUGACGGUACCCAAAGAAUAAGCACCGGCUAACUUCGUG
rnacentral:rRNA from 1 species